ACGCUCGACACCUACGGGGGGCAGCAGUGGGGAAUAUUGCACAAUGGGGGAAACCCUGAUGCAGCGACGCCGCGUGGAGGAAGAAGGUCUUCGGAUUGUAAACUCCUGUUGUUGGGGAAAAAGAGGAUGGUACCCAACAAGGAAGUGACGGCUAACUACGUGCCAGCACGCCGGACGGUAUCUGAGGCGGGCGUGGACGAACGGC
rnacentral:rRNA from 1 species